GAGCUCUCCCCAAGGCAUGUGGCUUGCUCUGUGGUGCCAGGGCACUCCAGGUAUGGACAUACUACAUGGAGCUGCUUGUGUCUUAACUGCAAGCCUGCAGGGAGGAAGGCUCUUGGGAUGUCCCGGUGAUGACAUGAUUUGGGGCUGGGCCUGAGGUCUGCUGAAGGCUGGUCCAGCCUGCAUGAGGAGGA
rnacentral:lncRNA from 1 species